UACAGAGGGGGCAAGCGUUGUUCGGAAUUACUGGGCGUAAAGGGCGCGUAGGCGGCCUGCUAAGUCGAACGUGAAAUCCCCGAGCUCAACUCGGGAACUGCGUCCGAUACUGGCAGGCUUGAAUCCGGGAGAGGGAUGCGGAAUUCCAGGUGUAGCGGUGAAAUGCGUAGAUAUCUGGAGGAACACCGGUGGCGAAGGCGGCAUCCUGGACCGACAUUGACGCUGAGGCGCGAAAGCCAGGGGAGCAAACGGG
rnacentral:rRNA from 1 species